GUAGGUGGCAAGCGUUAUCCGGAAUUAUUGGGCGUAAAGCGCGCGCAGGCGGUUUCUUAAGUCUGAUGUGAAAGCCCACGGCUCAACCGUGGAGGGUCAUUGGAAACUGGGGAACUUGAGUGCAGAAGAGAAAAGCGGAAUUCCACGUGUAGCGGUGAAAUGCGUAGAGAUGUGGAGGAACACCAGUGGCGAAGGCGGCUUUUUUGGUCUGUAACUGACGCUGAGGCGCGAAAGCGUGGGGAGCAAACAGGGAUUAGAUACCCUGGUAGUCCACGCCGUAAACGAUGAGUGCUAAGUGUUAGAGGGUUUCCGCCCUUUAGUGCUGCAGCUAACGCAUUAAGCACUCCGCCUGGGGAGUACGGUCGCAAGACUG
rnacentral:rRNA from 1 species